UCCGGGGGAUCGGUGUUGGGGACCGGCCCUGCCUAGCAGCGGGUUGCCGCCCCCUAAAUUCAGUGGCGGCCUCGUCGCAGCCUCCCUUGCGUAGUAGCUCUUUUGAAACCUCGCACCGGAGCGCGUCGUGGCCACGCCGUAAAACCCCAACUUUCUGAAAGGUUGACCUCGAAUCAGGUAGGAAUACCCGCUGAACUUAA
rnacentral:misc_RNA from 1 species